rnacentral:rRNA from 1 species
UACCAGCACCCCGAGUGGUCGGGACGUUUAUUGGGCGUAAAGAGCGUGUAGGCGGCCUGGAAGGUCAGCUGUGAAAACUCGAGGCUCAACCUCGAGACGUCGGUUGAAACCACCUGGCUAGAGUCCGGAAGAGGAGUGUGGAAUUCCCGGUGUAGCGGUGGAAUGCGCAGAUAUCGGGAGGAACACCCGUGGCGAAGGCGGCACUCUGGGACGGUACUGACGCUGAGACGCGAAAGCGUGGGGAGCAAACAGG